UUCGCAAUGCCCGAAAGGGUGACGAAGCGACGCCGCGUGCGGGAGGAAGGCCUUCGGGUUGUAAACCGCUGUCGGGAGUUAAGAAAUGCAAGGAUGUUAAUAGCGUUCUUGCUUGACUAAGGCUCCGGAGGAAGCCACGGCUAACUCUGUGCCAGCAGCCGCGGUAAUACAGAGGCGGCAAGCGUUGUUCGGAAUUAUUGGGCGUAAAGAGCACGUAGGCGGCUGUGUAAGUCGGUUGUGAAAGCCUUCCGCUCAACGGAAGAACGGCAUCCGAUACUGCAUGGCUUGAGUGUGGGAGGGGAGAGUGGAACUUCUGGUGGAGCGGUGAAAUGCGUAGAUAUCAGAAGGAACACCGGCGGCGAAGGCGACUCUCUGGUCCAUAACUGACGCUGAGUGUGCGAAAGCUAGGGGAGCAAACGGGAUUAGAUACCCCGGUAGUCCUAGCCGUAAACGAUGGGCACUAAGUAGAGGGGUAAUCG
rnacentral:rRNA from 1 species